GUCUCAAAGCUUAAGCUGUACAAGUCUCAUACAGACUGCAUAAUAUAUUAAAGAGAAACCGCAAAAAUCUCAGCAAAUCACUUUUAGUUUACUACAGUUUCAUAACAUUUAUGUAUUCAUAACAAAUAACAUAAGUUUCAUUACAUAACUGUGGUAAUUCUAGAAGUAAUGCAUGCAACCAAGCGUGCCCAUUCGUGAACAGGGCGCUUUUAUUAGACCAAGACCAAUCUCUAGGCCAGUCCGGGUAAUACAGCAGAUAGCAUGAACUCUUCGGAGUGGCGAUUUAACAUUCAAAUGCCUGACUUAUAGACUCUGUGACUACCAUGACUGUAUUAAGGCUUAAAUCCGGGAGGAAGCCUAAGUAUCGCUACCAGAUACAAGGAAGGUAGCAGGCAUGCAAAUUGCCCACUCCCGGCACACGGAAGCCUUGAGGCGAA
rnacentral:misc_RNA from 13 species